GAUAAACCUCCUCUUUGUUGCCAACAUUACCAUAUAGACUUAGGAGAUAGUGAUAAGGUAUCCUAUCCCGACCCUUGAUUCUACUCUCAACCCUCCUUAGGCAAUCUUCAGCUUUUUCUAACCGGCCCAUCUUAAUGUACAUUGUAGCCAUUGUGCUAAACGUUGUCCAGUUGGGAUUAAUGGUGUUAUCCAGUCUCAUUUGUUCAAAUACAUGUUCCAUCCUUUCAACAGAUCCUUGGGA
rnacentral:misc_RNA from 1 species